rnacentral:rRNA from 1 species
AUUGAACGCUGGCGGCAUGCCUUACACAUGCAAGUCGAACGGUAACGGGCCUUCGGGUGCCGACGAGUGGCGAACGGGUGAGUAAUGCAUCGGAACGUACCUUUCAGUGGGGGAUAACGUAGCGAAAGUUACGCUAAUACCGCAUAUUCUGUGAGCAGGAAAGCAGGGGAUCGCAAGACCUUGCGCUGAUUGAGCGGCCGAUGUCAGAUUAGCUAGUUGGUGAGGUAAAGGCUCACCAAGGCGACGAUCUGUAGCGGGUCUGAGAGGAUGAUCCGCCACACUGGAACUGAGACACGGUCCAGACUCCUACGGGAGGCAGCAGUGGGGAAUUUUGGACAAUGGGCGCAAGCCUGAUCCAGCCAUGCCGCGUGAGUGAAGAAGGCCUUCGGGUUGUAAAGCUCUUUCGGCCGGGAAGAAAUCGCAUGGGUUAAUACCCUGUGUGGAUGACGGUACCGGAAUAAGAAGCACCGGCUAACUACGUG